UGGGGAAUAUUGCACAAUGGGGGAAACCCUGAUGCAGCGACGCCGCGUGAACGAAGAAGGUAUUCGUAUCGUAAAGUUCUGUCCUAUGGGAAGAUAAUGACAGUACCAUAGAAGAAAGCUCCGGCUAAAUACGUGCCAGCAGCCGCGGUAAUACGUAUGGAGCGAGCGUUGUCCGGGAUUAUUGGGCGUAAAGGGUACGCAGGCGGUUUAAUAAGUCGAAUGUUAAAGAUCGGGGCUCAACCCCGCAAAGCAUUGGAAACUGAUAAACUUGAGUAGUGGAGAGGAAAGUGGAAUUCCUAGUGUAGUGGAGAAAUACGUAGAUAUUAGGAGGAAUACCAGUAGCGAAGGCGACUUUCUGGACACAAACUGACGCUGAGGUACGAAAGCGUGGGGAGCAAACAGG
rnacentral:rRNA from 1 species